CUGCGACCAGUCAAACUAAUCAGGUUCCUUUUCUCAAGGGGACCGGGUGUGCAGUGGCUACCAGCAGCAGCCCCUUGGGAACGCAUGCAGCCUCUUGCCUGUAUGGGUUCUCUAAGGAACCCUGAAGGCCCAU